rnacentral:rRNA from 1 species
GUGGGGAAUUUUGGACAAUGGGCGAAAGCCUGAUCCAGCCAUUCCGCGUGAGUGAAGAAGGCCUUCGGGUUGUAAAGCUCUUUCGGCAGGAAAGAAAUCGUUGCCCCUAAUACGGGUAAUGGAUGACGGUACCUGAAGAAGAAGCACCGGCUAACUACGUGCCAGCAGCCGCGGUAAUACGUAGGGUGCGAGCGUUAAUCGGAAUUACUGGGCGUAAAGCGUGCGCAGGCGGUUUUGUAAGUCAGAUGUGAAAGCCCCGGGCUCAACCUGGGAAUGGCGUUUGAAACUGCAAGGCUAGAGUGUGUCAGAGGGGGGUAGAAUUCCACGUGUAGCAGUGAAAUGCGUAGAGAUGUGGAGGAAUACCGAUGGCGAAGGCAGCCCCCUGGGAUAACACUGACGCUCAUGCACGAAAGCGUGGGGAGCAAACAGGAUUAGAAACCCUAGUAGUCC